UAUUUUUAUUUGUUGACUACUUUGUGUGAAAAAUGUGGUAUUUUCCUAGUACUCCGAGUGGAAUAAAAUAGUGUGUAAUGAGUGUAAUAAAAAAUCACUACGAUUGUUCAAAUAAAUCCACUAAAUUACUACAUAAGUUGAAUAACUACAAAUCAUUACUUAACAUUUUGGCUUAUUCGCUUUUUUGUGGUAUUUUUGUACUUUUUUUUUAUAAAACAAAAUAUUAGUACCUAUAAUGUGAACAUCAACAUUUUAUCAAAAACAGGUCCAGUACAUUGCAAUGGAAAAUUUAAGGCCAUACAACUACAUGUUAUGGCUUUAAAUUUUGUUUUAUUAACUGUUUUGUAUGAAAAUUAUAAUAUUUUUGUAGCUUUUCGAGUAAGAUAAAUUAAGUGUGUCAUGGAAACAUCACUGUUACUCAUCAAGAACGUCCAAUACAAUUUCAAGAAUAAUUUGAAGAUAAAAUACUACUUUGCAUUGUAAGCCAUCAUUGUUGUUAACCACUUUGAAUGAAAAAUGUGGUACUUUCGUUGAUUUUUGAGUGAAUCAAAAUUUGAGUGUAAUGAAAACAUCACUAUUAUUCUUCAAGUAUGUCCCCCAAACUGCUACGAACAUUUCAAGGCUAGAAAACUUCAUGUUAUCGUUUUAAAUUUAGUUUUGUUGACUACUUUGUGUAAAAAGUAUGGAAUUUUCGUAGUUUUCCGGGUAAAACAAAAUAAGAGUGUAAUUAGAACAUUUUCAUUGUUCAUCAAAAAUGUCGAGUACAAUUCUACGAACAAUUGGGUUUUUAAAUUUUGAAAAAUAUAUUGUUUUUUUGAUUUUAUACGAAAGAGCACCUUUUUCUGAGCCACUAUGAUUUUUUUCAGAUUUUUAGAACCUUAUUUUGGUACCUAAAAUCUAUUCCCAAGAAAUUUUUUGAAAUCACCUUUUGACAGCUGGGCAACUGUUUGACAGUUCCGCCCAGUACAAACUGCGACGAGGGGUGAUUCGACAAAUCGCUCCCAUACAAACUUCAAAUUGAUUUUUAAAUAGGUUCCCGGGCUCCAAAAUUCAUGAAAAUUUGGAUUUCGGCUCAGUUUGACAUGCAGAUUCAGAAUAUCGAAUUAUCUCAACACCGUUAAAGAAGCCAAUUUAAGACCAAAAAAACUAUAUGUGAACGCUUUGAAUUUUGAUUUAUUGCUUAUUUUAUGUGAAAAAUAGGGUAUUUUAGCAGUUUUUUGAGUAAGGUAAAUUAUCAGUGUACUGAAAAAUCACUAAUUUUGCAUAAACAUGUUCAUUCCAGCUGUACGCAUGAUUUAGAGUCGAAAAAAACAUAUGUCAUCGCUUUAAAUUUUGUUUUAUUGAUCAAUGUGCGAAAAAAAUGCACUCUCUAAAAAAACUAGGAAGUGCCUUUUGCUUAAUAACUUUAGGUAGACGUAUCUAUUUUAUAUUUUUUUAAAUGGACGAUGAUCUUGAAACCUGUCCGGUUCCAUCGCAAAAAAAAAGUUUUAAAAUCGGUUGAAACACGGCCGAGAAAUGCCUUGUCAAAGUUGGACUUCCGACUUUUUUUGGACCCUUGGUAGUUCGCGGGAGUUUUUACCCCCUCGGUAGUUUACACUGCGAAUCCGGCAUUACGCUUUAAGGAGUAAAAAGUACCCUUUUUUUGCUGGUAUAUGAAACUGUCAAGAUAAAGGGUACUUGUCGAAUUUUUAAAAUGGGUAAUUUUUGCCCUUCUUAGAAUUCCUACCGAGUACUCUUCAAAGAGUGAAAAUGUUGUUGAAGUUUUUCGAGGUGCAUCCAAGAGUGAUGUUUUUCAUUUUGCUGAUUUUUGCGGGUAAGUAAAACUAAAUAUUUAACUAAUAUUCAAUAAGUAAGAAACUGAUUAGUGAAUUAUUUAUUUCAUUAGGAUGUCAGAGGCCGCGAGCAUGGUUCUGCUCGGUUCUGCCCUCCACCUGGAUCAAAGUUGGAUCUGCAGGCUUCCUCCAAUCAGUUGCGGUAUAAAGGUCCGUGGUCCGACUUGCAAAACCCAUAGGAAUAAUGUUAGUAUUAUAAUUAAUAAAUAUUUCGCAUGAACAAUCUUGUGUUGCUUAUUUAUUAUUAAUUUGUUGUAUUAAUAAUCACUAAGUCCCCAUAAAAUAAUAAAUAGGGUACAUUUUACUCUUUUCAUAAUUUCAAAUCAUUCCAGAAAAAGGGUAAAAAUCACUCGUUGAUUUGACGUACAAGCGGUUUACCCUUUUGAGAGUAAAAGCCGUUUACUCUUUUUAUGAGUUCACCUAGUUACUCUCGAAAAGGGUACUUUUUUACUCUUUAAAGAGUACUUUGAUCUCUCAGUGUAAGCAACGAUAACGAUAUACAACUAGCAUAUUUUUCGGUGACCACGGCAUCAUCUGUGGCCGGCAUAUGGGGCUUUUCGUUUGUUAGCCUCAUUUAUGUCCGACCCCUUAGUUUGACAGAAGUCAAUGUCAAAGUGACAAUCCAAUUCUUGUUUUGUUUUAGCGCGACGCGAUCGAUUUUUUUUUUAUAAAACGGGCCAGUCAGUACCCGUUAAUCGAGAUUUCUAGAUUCUAUAAAGGAAUUUUGACUCUCCCCGGAACGAAUAGGGCAUCUUGAUGCUGAAUCAGCAUUGCUGAUGACAUCUCUCAGCACACCCAACCAAACGUUUCCAAAGUUUUCGAAGGCAAUGUGGAUUAAUAUACCGGCAGAAGGAGUUUGGCUAAAUGGAAUAAGGACUAGCUGUACGCCAGCGCUAUGUCCGGCUCCAGAGGAAUCAUUGAAAUGGAGCUGCAUGCUUGAAAAUACAAAUGCAAAAUUACACGAGAUGAUGUGGAUGCUGUGGUGAAACGGAUGCCAUCGGGAAUCUCGGCCAGAAGAAACAGGAAUGAGUAGUGCUGGUGCUGGUAUCGGAACCAAAGAUAAAUACUCGUUGUCAACGCAAGUUGUAACACUUCCGGGAUAGGAGAACUCCGACUCGCAGAAAAAAUGGGUUCCAUCCGAAACGAUGCGGCUAUCUCUAUGUUGAUGACACUCAUAGCGCAUCCAGAACAUCACCAGGCCUUUGGGAGGAAAUGGGAGCCAAAAUAUAGCCAAUCAAAAUGGCUCAGAUGUCGGCAGCUGCCAGCCAAAAAGUGGAAUAUAACGCGUCGGCGGAAGCAAAAUGAGUACCCUGCAUUUCCACUAUAAAUUUUCAAAUAUAAUAUAUUAUAAAAU